AUUGGUAAAAUGUACAAAUUUUUUGUACAUAUUACCAAAAUCCGGUAAAACUGAUGUCAGAUGUAAUGUACAUCCCUACCAGAGAUUCGUACAUUUUACUUCAUGCCAUUUGUAACCUUCAAUGUUUUCAUUCCUAGCGACUGUGAAGUGCGCACUUCGUAAUCGCCAUUUUUUUGUGGAAGCGAAGCAAUUCGGAGAUAUUCCGAAAUACACUCAUUUUGGACGACGUUUCUUCUAUUCUACUACUGAUAGAAGCAUUUCCAUUUGCGAUCAAUCGUAAACGAACAUUUUACAACAGCCAUUAUUCGAUGCUAAUAUUUGGCGAUACAAACUAGGGAAAGGAAGAACCAAUAACGAUUCACCAUCGGUCCGUGCAAACGGUAUCAAAUGAAUCAAAAAAAUCUAACUUGAAUGUUUUUUUUUCCGGUGAUGAGCUGCUCGUCGAAGCUAAGUUGUCAAUUUUAUUUUGGUUUCCGCGUUUCUGUCUGCGAUAUUGAACCCUAAGAUGGAAGAAUUCGGCGAUCUGCUGGUCGAGAGCACUCACAACUUGUGAGACAAAGAGCGAAUUCAACAAAGUUAAACAAAGACAACGAAAACCAUCGUAGCUCCCAUUCAGUUCCGUACAGCAUAUACGGCUAUGGCGACUAUCAGAAAGCUGUUGAUCUAUGGAUACAAUUCGGACCAACAAACUGGUGAGACGAAUGAGCCCCUUGCGGCGGAAGCAUUCAGACAGAACUUCGCAACCAUCAGAACGCACCUAGCGGAGAAGACGUAUGCUGUUAUGUCAAGACAGACAUACUUUUAGUUUGAGGUACGGACUGUGGGACUGAUGAGGGACUGCAAUUCCGAAACGAUGUUGGGGAAUGAUGAUCCAUCGUGUGCUUUUGAUGGCUACAAUAUAAGCAUGAGCACAAAUAUCGAAUCCGAUUGUUCAAUACGACCAAUCACGACCCCUCAAUCCAAUGUAGUUGUUCUGUUACAAGAAAACAAGCCCCAAAUUCCUACUGAAGACACAUUUCCACUGCCUCACCAAGAGCAAAUCACAUAGAUGGUUGCCGAAAAAUUUCAAAUGUAAGUUUAUAUGAACCCCCUUCUUCGAACUCUGGGGCAUUCCAAAGCGUCACAAUUAAAUGGGCAAGUAAACUACACCUGCGCAGGGUCGAAGAUUUCGGUAGGCGAUACCUGGUCGGAGACGUAAUCGUUUUCUUCUUAAAUAUCCACGACAAGAUCAGCACGAGAGGAAUAAAUACGAACUAAGAGUACUGGGUACUGGUGUCAUCAACUUCCUGCUAAUCAGCGCCCCAUUCUCUAGAGACAGCGAUGCAGUAGAAGGAGUUAUUGCGACGAGAAUUAUUGUUGUUUUCAUAUUUUACAUUUUUUUUAUUGUAGAACUAUUGAAAUUGUAUAUAGAAUAAGUGAUUAGUGAAAUAUUAUAUUAAAAUAACAUGUUAUCAAACACAGGAUUUUAAAUAAAA